rnacentral:rRNA from 1 species
CCCUUAGAUGUUCUGGGCCGCACGCGCGCUACACUGGUACGUUCAACAAGUUUACAACCUUGACCGAAAGGUCUGGGUAAUCUUUUGAAUGCGUACCGCGCUAGGGAUAGAUUAUUGCAAUUAUUAAUCUUGAACGAGGAAUUCCUAGUAAACGCAAGUCAUCAGCUUGCAUUGAUUACGUCCCUGCCCUUUGUACACACCGCCCGUCGCACCUACUGAUUGAAUGACUCGGUGAAAAAUCGGGACUGCGAGAACAAUCGAUUAAUUUCGAAUGUACUUGUGGGAACUUUUUUUAACCUCGCCAUUUAGAAGAAGGUGAAGUCGUAACA